rnacentral:rRNA from 1 species
UACGGAGGAUGCAAGCGUUAUCCGGAUUUAUUGGGUUUAAAGGGUGCGUAGGCGGGGCUUUAAGUCAGUGGUGAAAUCUUGCAGCUUAACUGUAAAAUUGCCAUUGAUACUGAAGUUCUUGAGUGCGGUUGAAGUAGGCGGAAUGUGUAAUGUAGCGGUGAAAUGCUUAGAGAUUACACAGAACACCGAUUGCGUAGGCAGCUUACUAAGCCGUAACUGACGCUGAGGCACGAAAGUGUGGGGAU